rnacentral:rRNA from 1 species
UAGGGCUAAGUCGUAACAAGGUAGCCGUACCGGAAGGUGCGGCUGGAACACCUCCUUUCUAGAG